AUUGAACGCUGGCGGCAGGCCUAACACAUGCAAGUCGAGCGGUAGCACAGAGAGCUUGCUCUCGGGUGACGAGCGGCGGACGGGUGAGUAAUGUCUGGGAAACUGCCUGAUGGAGGGGGAUAACUACUGGAAACGGUAGCUAAUACCGCAUAACGUCGCAAGACCAAAGUGGGGGACCUUCGGGCCUCAUGCCAUCAGAUGUGCCCAGAUGGGAUUAGCUAGUAGGUGGGGUAACGGCUCACCUAGGCGACGAUCCCUAGCUGGUCUGAGAGGAUGACCAGCCACACUGGAACUGAGACACGGUCCAGACUCCUACGGGAGGCAGCAGUGGGGAAUAUUGCACAAUGGGCGCAAGCCUGAUGCAGCCAUGCCGCGUGUGUGAAGAAGGCCUUCGGGUUGUAAAGCACUUUCAGCGGGGAGGAAGGCGUUAAGGUUAAUAACCUUGGCGAUUGACGUUACCCGCAGAAGAAGCACCGGCUAACUCCGUGCCAGCAGCCGCGGUAAUACGGAGGGUGCAAGCGUUAAUCGGAAUUACUGGGCGUAAAGCGCACGCAGGCGGUCUGUCAAGUCGGAUGUGAAAUCCCCGGGCUCAACCUGGGAACUGCAUUCGAAACUGGCAGGCUAGAGUCUUGUAGAGGGGGGUAGAAUUCCAGGUGUAGCGGUGAAAUGCGUAGAGAUCUGGAGGAAUACCGGUGGCGAAGGCGGCCCCCUGGACAAAGACUGACGCUCAGGUGCGAAAGCGUGGGGAGCAAACAGGAUUAGAUACCCUGGUAGUCCACGCCGUAAACGAUGUCGAUUUGGAGGUUGUGCCCUUGAGGCGUGGCUUCCGGAGCUAACGCGUUAAAUCGACCGCCUGGGGAGUACGGCCGCAAGGUUAAAACUCAAAUGAAUUGACGGGGGCCCGCACAAGCGGUGGAGCAUGUGGUUUAAUUCGAUGCAACGCGUAGAACCUUACCUGGUCUUGACAUCCACAGAACUUUCCAGAGAUGGAUUGGUGCCUUCGGGAACUGUGAGACAGGUGCUGCAUGGCUGUCGUCAGCUCGUGUUGUGAAAUGUUGGGUUAAGUCCCGCAACGAGCGCAACCCUUAUCCUUUGUUGCCAGCGGUCCGGCCGGGAACUCAAAGGAGACUGCCAGUGAUAAACUGGAGGAAGGUGGGGAUGACGUCAAGUCAUCAUGGCCCUUACGACCAGGGCUACACACGUGCUACAAUGGCAUAUACAAAGAGAAGCGACCUCGCGAGAGCAAGCGGACCUCAUAAAGUAUGUCGUAGUCCGGAUUGGAGUCUGCAACUCGACUCCAUGAAGUCGGAAUCGCUAGUAAUCGUAGAUCAGAAUGCUACGGUGAAUACGUUCCCGGGCCU
rnacentral:rRNA from 1 species